UCCAAAGGAAAGGAUAAACAAGGUUUGAACAAAACCAGACCGACUAGUUCGAAGAAGUCAGCAGCAGUUUCAACGCCCUCUCAGCCAGUACCUACUAGCGAUUUUUUGAGUGAGCUUUAUGAUGACCAAUUAAAAAAAGAUGAAGUAAAAAUCGACCAAUUGAAUGAGGAAAUUAAUCGAUUAAACAGCGUUGUACAAAG